GCCCCCAUUGCGGUACCUUUUAUUUGUAGGUAGAACUGCCCAUUAAAACAAAAAUAAUUAUGGGUUAAAAUAAAGGAUAUACUUUCCAAAAUUGCUUCCACUUGACACCGAGGGAGAAGGGGAUCUUCCAAAAGGAAAUGUUGAAUAGCUUUCAAGCCCAACUUGUGGUCGAUAUUUGAAUAUAGGGCUGCCACAUCCACGGUCAGCCAACAAUAAUUCUCCUGCCAGGAAAUCUCCUGCAUCAAUGAUAAUACAUGUCCCGUGUCUUUAAUAUACGAAGGAAGGUUGAUCAUAAUUUUCUGAAGAUGAAUAUCUACCCAUUUUGAUAAGGGUGCUGUAAGAGAACCAAUAGAUGAAAUAAUAGGUCUACCAGGUGGAUUAGUGAGGGACUUAUGGAUCUUCGGAAGGAAGUAAAAGAUGGGUAUAUUGUCUCCACCGGAGAGUAGAAAACCUUUUUCUGAUUUAUCAAUAACCCCUAUAUCAAACAUCUUAUUCACCCAGGUUUUGAGAUCCCUGGUGAAUUGAGUAGUGGGAUUAAAAGCGAGGGUUUUAUAAUAAUUUGUAUCUUCCAAAAUCCGAUAUGCUUCCUUGAGGUAGUUCUCCCUAUCAAGGAGAACAAUCCCACCUCCCUUAUCAGCCCCCUUGAUAACGAUGUUAUGAUCUUUCUUAAGGUCUUUCAGUGCUGCCCUUUCCAGAUUCGUAAGGUUAUAUUCCAACUUCCAAUUUCUUUGUUUGACAUUUAGACUGGUG